CUUUUCAGUUUCUGCUCUCAAUGUCUUCAGAAUUUUCCUCACAGAAUCAUCGGAUUGUAGCUUGCAGGAAGUUUGUAAAUUCCUCCUCCCCUUCCGUAUUUUCUCCUAAAGCUACCACUAACCGGGCCUUCUCCAGCCAUCUGGUGUUGCUGGCAGAUGGCACUUGGAACCUAACAGCUCCACUGGCUUUCGGGGAAGGAAAAACUCUCCCAUGGGAACCCAGAAACAAGCAACAGCAAGUCAAAGUCAAACAGAACUGACUCAGGAACUAUCUUUGUGAGUGCUACCAUGCUGUGUUGACUAGUUUCCUGGCUGAAGAGAAGGCUCAUUGGCUUAGAGUACCUAUUGUUCUUCUCGAGGACCUGAAUUAGACUCACAGCACCUACACAAGCAACUCCCAAGUGUCUGUAGCUCCAGUUCUGGAAGAUCUGAUGCUUACUUCUGGUUCCUAUGGGCACUACACACACACAUGGUACAUAGACAUACAUGCAGGAAUAACACCUAUCCAUGUACAAUGAAGAUUAAAG